rnacentral:snoRNA from 1 species
UUUUAAUGAUGAUUUAAUAUAAAAAAAAAGCACAUUUGUUAGAACAGAAUAAAAAGUGUGUUGAAUUUUGUUAGUUUCUGAAA